GUCUAUGGCCAUACCACACUGAAUGUACCCGAUCUGGUCUGAUCUUGGAAGCUAUGUGGGUUCUGGCCUGGUUAGUACUUGGAUGGGAGGAAAGCUUGUACAAACCUCAUUUCAUAGAUUUGGAAGCAUAGAGC
rnacentral:rRNA from 1 species